CUCUAGAAAGCGUCUUUGCGUGGUCGUUGGUGGUAGCCAGUCAGACAGCCACGGUGAUGCCGCUACAGGCCUCCUAACUGUGUGUUGAGCAGGUGCAUGCCUCGAGUACUCCUCACUGACGGUGGGUGGGACUGGUGCUGUUGACGUGGAUGGGUUGUUAUCGGCUCCAGAUUGCUACAUGUACCAGAUAUCGGCAGGUGUAGGGUCCCCCAUCUCACAGAUCUCGGGGUGACGGGUGCGACUGGUAGAGCAGGAUGAGGACAGCUGGUAUCAACACCAGUUGAUAGUUAAU